CCUACGGAGGCAGCAGUGGGGAAUUUUGGACAAUGGGCGCAAGCCUGAUCCAGCAAUGCCGCGUGAGUGAAGAAGGCCUUCGGGUUGUAAAGCUCUUUUGUCAGGGAAGAAACGGUGGGGGCUAAUAUCCCUCGCUAAUGACGGUACCUGAAGAAUAAGCACCGGCUAACUACGUGCCAGCAGCCGCGGUAAUACGUAGGGUGCAAGCGUUAAUCGGAAUUACUGGGCGUAAAGCGUGCGCAGGCGGUUUUGUAAGUCUGUCGUGAAAGCCCCGGGCUCAACCUGGGAAUUGCGAUGGAGACUGCAAGGCUUGAAUCUGGCAGAGGGGGGUAGAAUUCCACGUGUAGCAGUGAAAUGCGUAGAGAUGUGGAGGAACACCGAUGGCGAAGGCAGCCCCCUGGGUCAAGAUUGACGCUCAUGCACGAAAGCGUGGGGAGCAAACAGGAUUAGAUACCCUGGUAGUCCACGCCCUAAACGAUGUCUACUAGUUGUCGGGUUUUAAUUAACUUGGUAACGCAGCUAACGCGUGAAGUAGACCGCCUGGGGAGUACGGUCGCAAGAUUAAAAACUCAAAAGUAGUAGUACGGACCGUGUAGGAACGUAGUCCGAACCGGACGGACCGAACCGAACGGGAAGGGGUUAAGGUUAGGAG
rnacentral:rRNA from 1 species